rnacentral:rRNA from 1 species
UACGGAGGGGGUUAGCGUUGUUCGGAAUUACUGGGCGUAAAGCGUACGUAGGCGGAUUAGUAAGUUGGGGGUGCAAUCCCGGGGCUCAACCCCGGAACUGCCUCCAAAACUACUAGUCUUGAGUCCGAUAGAGGUGGGUGGAAUUCCUAGUGUAGAGGUGAAAUUCGUAGAUAUUAGGAAGAACACCGGUGGCGAAGGCGGCCCACUGGAUCGGUACUGACGCUGAGGUGCGAAAGCGUGGGGAGCAAACAGG